AUACGGAGGGGGCUAGCGUUGUUCGGAAUUACUGGGCGUAAAGCGCGUGUAGGCGGAUCGUUAAGUCAGGGGUGAAAGCCCGGGGCUCAACCCCGGAACUGCCCUUGAUACUGGCGAUCUAGAGUCCGGAAGAGGUGGGUGGAAUUCCCGGUGUAGAGGUGAAAUUCGUAGAUAUCGGGAGGAACACCAGUGGCGAAGGCGGCUCACUGGUCCGGUACUGACGCUGAGACGCGAAAGCGUGGGGAGCAAACAGGAUUAGAAACCCUAGUAGUCC
rnacentral:rRNA from 1 species